AUGCAUGGUAGUGCGGUUGCUGCUAUUUGCCGGGAUGAUAAUGGCACUUAUGUGGGUUCCUCGAGAGUGGUCUUCAGGGGUACUUCUGAUCCAAUGAUGCUCGAAACAUUUGCAUGUACAGAGUCUCUUUCUCUAGCGGAAGACCUUGGAAUCCAGAAUAUGGUACUGACCUCCAAUUGCCGAGGAGUGGUAAAUGACAUUAACGAAGGAACAAGAGGCCCUAAUGCAGCUAUCAUACAUGAAAUAGUAGGUCGUAGAUCUGCUUUUAAUUCUUGCUCUUUUAUUCAUUAGCGUAGGAACUUUAAUUUCAAGGUUCAUAAUCUCGUCAAGUUUACUUGUAAUUUACGCAUAGGGAAACAUGUGUGGUUAGGUAACACUCAUAACCUAAAGUAUGUACCUAUGAACAUUACUAUACAUCAAUAA
rnacentral:rRNA from 1 species